CUCAAAGUUGGAGUGGCUCAGGAGGGCUUCCUGGAGAAGGAGGCAGCCCUACCCCACACCCAGGAUCUCAUAGACCCUUCCUGUCCCUCCCCUACAUCCCCGUAGGUGCAGGCAGCUGCCGGGCGCUACAGAGUGUGCAGCCUCAACGGGUCUCUAUCUGUGCAUAUGUCUGGCCGGGAGCUGGUUCUGCUGGAGGUCGACGCCAGCCAGGACACUCGGAGAAACAGUCAGGGCUGGGGUGUGAGUGUCCUUCUCCACCAGGCUGUCCUCAGUGCCCCCAGGGUUGUUCGGCUGCAGCUGUCUGGAAAGAUCACCCCAGCAAGGAUUUGGCUGUUUUCCAAGGCACUGCUGGACCAGAACACAGCACAGCUGCUCCUCAAGGCAUCUGAGGAACGGAGGGGAGGCCGGGUCCUGACCUUACAGAGCCAAACCCGGCACACGGUGGCUGGCUGGGCAGCGAUGCCCCGCCUCCUGACACUCACAGGAAGGUUGAAGCAGAAGGAGACACUUCAAGAGGGCACCCUCAGGGUCACUGCUGACUCAGCUGUGCUGGGCGUCCUCCUGCGGGACAAGCACGAGAAGGCAGGGAACGGCACCAGCGUGCGCAGCGUGACCUGUGUCCUUGCCCAGAACAGCAGCCAGGCCUUGCCUGGAGAGCUCCAGCUGAAGGGCCGGCUGCAGGCCCAGACGAGGAACCUGAGGGCCCAGGCCAGCAUCCAGGCCCAUGCGGCCAGCCUGGCUCUGGGUGGUGCCUGCUCCUGGGGCCCCGGGCAUGGCCAGCUUGCGGUUGCCCUGACACACAAUAUCAGCACGCUGAGUGAUGCAGGACUCCCCUCUGAGGCAGGGAUGCUCUUGUCUCUUACCCACGUGGCUUCCAACUGCUCAGCACACCUGGCACUGCGGUGCUCGGGGAUUCAGCUAGAUGCUGCCCUUGGCCUAGAGGACCUGACCCCCGAGUCUCCAGGCCGCCAGCUCCAUGCCAGCCUCCGCCACACCCACACCAUGCCCAGCCUCAAGCACUGGGGCCUCCCCUUCUCCAUAGAUGGCCAGGGGCACUUCCAGGUGAGUGAGGAGGGGGCUGCAGCCGGGCCCUUCCAGGGGACACUGGGUCCCAGGGACACCCAACAGCUUUGUUUCUGCCCAGAGUGCGGGACGCAGUCUGGCGGCCGGGCUGACGGUAAACUUGGAUGGUGAACAGCUCCACGCAGCCCUGGAGAGGAAGGCAGAGGACAGCCGCCAGGGGCUGGUGCUGGGGCUGCACCACAGCCUCUCGGGGCUGCAGGGCAUCCUGCCCUCCCAGCUGGAGAUGAGUGGGUUGGGUGCCCAUGUGGGCCAGGCUUCAGCCUGCACCAGGCCCUGCCUGGUAGAAUGAAGACAGUGGAGGCCCUGGUCCCUCAGUUCCUCCCUGGGGCUCCUGUCCUGGAGAAGCCCCACACCCGCAGCUGUCGUCUUCAUUGUUCUCAUAAACGAAAAGCAGGAAAGCACCUCGGAGCCCGUCCCCGCGGGUGGCUAAACCGUCCAUGGUGGGAGAUGGAAUGUGAGUGACCAGGGCUCCUGGCCUGAAGCCAGGCUGCACCAUCGCUGACUGUGUGACCACACGCAAGGUGCUUCCUCUUUCCCUGACUCGUGUGACUCAGUUUCCUCAUCUGCCACCUCCUUCCAUGGUUACUCUGAGGUUCAGUUAGCACCGUGCCUGGCGCAGAGGCCCUGCAUGCGGGGAGCUCUGCUUACCUUCAUCUGAUGAUAAGGCUGUGGCUUCGCCCUCAAGUCUUUGUGCAAACCUCUCUUUUGGGUUAUUUGCCCUUGGUGGCUUCCCCAAAGGGUAGGGUCAAGUGGGUUCUUGGCACCCACGACAGUUCACUCUGGGGUCGGAGAAGAAGUCAGCCCUUUCCCACCCACUGGUCUCUGUAGGUCAACUGCAGUGGAGACGCCUCGCCCACCCAACUGUUAGGACGGUGCCGAGGGGACAUCGCUGGGCAGCCUCUCGAGGUAUGGGGUCUCUGUCCUGGGCGGGAUGGUUGAGGUAAAUACUGGGACCCUUCAGCGGGACUGGCACAGCCUGAUCACAGGGGCUGCCUGUGGUGUGGCCUGGGGCUGAGGUCACUGCCAGGAGAUACUCACAUGGUCCCCGUCCUUAAAG
rnacentral:lncRNA from 1 species